rnacentral:lncRNA from 10 species
CUGAAGUCCAGUGUACUGAAAAUCAUUGUUUCAUAUAUUUUUGUGGGUUUUUUUGUGAUUGUUUCAGGUAAAAGAGUAAAUCAAGUCUUGGUUACUCGUCUUGGCUGGAAGCAGACGUCCCCUAGAGCCUAAAGUUUUUAAGGCUAUCCAGGGAGAGAAUGACUCUGAAUGGCUCUGAAGCACAGGUGAGAGGUGGAAAGACACUGGCUACUGAUGGAUUUUCAUUUGCCGGCCUCUUUCUGUAGCCUAACUACAUUCCUGCCCUUGGGCUGAGACCUGGGAUAUUGGAAUGCGAAGGAGAUUAGAAGCUGGUUACAUUUAAACAGGCAAACCAGCUGAGGAAGAGCUGGGGCCGGAGCUGAAUUCUUCCAUUUAUCAACGUCUUCACCAAGGAGUCCUUGUCACCCCCUCCAGUCACCCACACAGCCCCCUGAGCCAUUUCAGUCCCCACCACGAUGGCUUGCUGAGUCCUGGAUGCUGAUUAAAAACCUGAUCUACCAAGGUGCAAGGGGGAAGUAUAGAAAUCCUAAUCAAAUCAGAGUGAUUAUCAAGAGAACAGGAAUAGAUGCUAAGGAGACCACUGCAAUGUUCCUGAAAGACUUAAGAAAUUUCGUCCUCAUUUUUCAGGUGAGAAAACUGAGAUGCAGACAUGCUAAGGUCCCUUAUGGCCACAGCCAUAGCAAAAGCCUGGACCCAAAUCAGUCUGCUUCUGUUCUGGAGCUUCAACCACACUGACUUUCUUUUUGUUGUUUCAGAACUUUACUUGUAUUCCUACCACAGAGCCUCUGCCUGUGCUGACUCCACCACCUUGAACAGUCCUCAUCUCCUACACCUUUCACUUAGUUAAUUUCUACAGCACUGGCACCACCUCCUGAAGGAUCAAGGACCCAACCAGGUCAAAUCCUCCUCUUA